GAAAAACCAGAUCCUGCAAGAAUACAAGGAAGAGGUUUUCAUUCACGUGAGCCGCUGUAGAGUUCCUUUGAUGGGAGAGAAUGUGAUCUUGUACCCAUAAAGAUCAACUAGAAGCUACCAUGCUGUAUCAAGUCUUUCAUCUUUCCUCCUGAGCCACAGAAGCACUUGUCUCAAGACAGUGUUUGACAUGGCCAUCCACUGCUUUCCUGAGAAGAUGCCCAAGACUGGUCCUUGACUAUCUCUCUAGCUCUCUCUCUCACAUGCAACUAU